rnacentral:rRNA from 1 species
GACGAACGCUGGCGGCGUGCCUAAUACAUGCAAGUCGAACGCAGUGGGGACGGGUGAGUAACACGUGGGUAACCUCCCAUCAGAGGGGAUAAACCUUGGAAACAAGUGCUAAACCGAUCCUGAUGGAUGGACCCGCGGUGCAUUAGCUAGUUGGUGAGGGAACGGCUCACCAAGGCCACUAUGUCUAGCCGCCGUGAGAGGGUGAUCGGCCACACUGGGACUGAGACACGGCCCAGAAUCCUACGGGAGGCAGCAGUAGGGAAUCUUGGGCAAUGGACGAAACUCUGACCGAGCAACGCCGCGUGAGUGAAGAAGGUUUUCGGAUCGUAAAACUCUGUUGUUAGAUAAGCGGUAUCUAACCAGAAAGCCACGGCUAACUACGUGCCAGCAGCCGCGGUAAUAC